rnacentral:rRNA from 1 species
AGGGAUCAUUACCGAGUUUACAACUCCCAAACCCCUGUGAACAUACCUAUACGUUGCCUCGGCGGAUCAGCCCGCGCCCCGUAAAACGGGACGGCCCGCCCGAGGACCCCUAAACUCUGUUUUUAGUGGAACUUCUGAGUAAAACAAACAAAUAAAUCAAAACUUUCAACAACGGAUCUCUUGGUUCUGGCAUCGAUGAAGAACGCAGCAAAAUGCGAUAAGUAAUGUGAAUUGCAGAAUUCAGUGAAUCAUCGAAUCUUUGAACGCACAUUGCGCCCGCCAGUAUUCUGGCGGGCAUGCCUGUUCGAGCGUCAUUUCAACCCUCAAGCUCAGCUUGGUGUUGGGACUCGCGGUAACCCGCGUUCCCCAAAUCGAUUGGCGGUCACGUCGAGCUUCCAUAGCGUAGUAAUCAUACACCUCGUUACUGGUAAUCGUCGCGGCCACGCCGUAAAACCCCAACUUCUGAAUGUUGACCUCGGAUCAGGUAGGAAUACCCGCUGAACUUAAGCAU